CCUACGGGAGGCAGCAGUGGGGAAUAUUGCACCAUGGGGGAAACCCUGCUGCAGCGACGCCGCGUGAGUGCAGAAGUAAUUCGUUAUGUAAAGCUCUAUCAGCAGGGACGAAAAUGACGGUACCUGAGUCAGAAGCCCCGGCUAACUACGUUCCAGCAGCCGCGGUAAUACGUAGGGGGCAAGCGUUAUCCGGAUUUACUGGGAGUAAAGGGAGCGUAGACGGCAGUGCAAGUCUGGAGUGAAAGGCGGGGGCUCAACCCCCGGACUGCUCUGGAAACUGUACGGCUGGAGUGCAGGAGAGGUAAGUGGAAGUCCUAGUGUAGCGGUGAAAUGCGUAGAUAUUAGGAGGAACACCAGUGGCGAAGGCGGCUUACUGGACUGUAACUGACGUUGAGGCUCGAAAGCGUGGGGAGCAAACAGGAUUAGAUACCCGAGUAGUC
rnacentral:rRNA from 1 species